rnacentral:rRNA from 1 species
UACGGAGGGUGCAAGCGUUAAUCGGAUUUAUUGGGUGUAAAGCGCACGUAGGCGGCCAAGUAAGUCAGUUGUGAAAUCCACGAGCUUAACUGUUGCACUGCCACUGAUACUGGUUGGCUUGAGUCUAGUAGAGGGGGGUAGAAUUCCAUGUGUAGCGGUGAAAUGCGUAGAGAUGUGGAGGAAUACCGGUGGCGAAGGUGGCCCCCUGGACUAAGACUGACGCUGAGGUGCGAAAGCGUGGGGAGCAAAUAGG